rnacentral:rRNA from 1 species
GCAGCGCGGGGCAACCUGGCGGCGAGUGGCGAACGGGUGAGUAAUAUAUCGGAACGUGCCCUGGAGUGGGGGAUAACGCAGCGAAAGUUGCGCUAAUACCGCAUACGAUCUAAGGAUGAAAGCGGGGGAUUCGCAAGAACCUCGUGCUCCUGGAGCGGCCGAUAUCUGAUUAGCUAGUUGGUGGGGUAAAGGCCUACCAAGGCAUCGAUCAGUAGCUGGUCUGAGGGGACGACCAGCCACACUGGAACUGAGACACAGUCCAGACUCCUACGGGAGGCAGCAGUGGGGAAUUUUGGACAAUGGGCGAAAGCCUGAUCCAGCAAUGCCGCGUGAGUGAAGAAGGCCUUCGGGUUGUAAAGCUCUUUUGUCAGGGAAGAAGCGGUGAAGGCUAAUAUCCUUUGCUAAUGACGGUACCUGAAGAAUAAGCACCGGCUAACUACGUGCCAGCAGCCGCGGUAAUACGUAGGGUGCAAGCGUUAAUCGGAAUUACUGGGGCGUAAAGCGUGCGCAGGCGGUUUUGUAAGUCUGUCGUGAAAUCCCCGGGCUCAACCUGGGAAUUGCGAUGGAGACUGCAAGGCUANAAUCUGGCAGAGGGGGGUANAAUUCCNCGUGUAGCANUGAAAUGCNUANAGAUGUGGNNGAACNCCGAUGGCGAANGCAGCCCCCUGGGUCAGNAUUGACNCU